AACGAACGCUGGCGGCGCGUCUUAAGCAUGCAAGUCGAAUGGCAAGAUUGGUGCUUGCACCGAUCCUAGAAUGGCAGACUGGUGAGUAACACGUGGGUGACAUACCCUUUGGAUGGGGACAGCUACUAGAAAUAGUAGGUAAUACCGAAUAAGCUUAUAUCAGUUAGAGAGGUAUAAGGAAAGGUGCUACGGCACCGCCAAAGGAAUGGCUCGCGGCCCAUUAGCUAGUUGGUAAGGUAACGGCCUACCAAGGCAAUGAUGGGUAUCCGGCCUAAGAGGGUAAACGGACACAUUGGGACUGAGAUACGGCCCAGACUCCUACGGGAGGCAGCAGCUAAGAAUAUUCCGCAAUGGACGAAAGUCUGACGGAGCGACGCCGCGUGGAUGAAGAAGGCCGAAAGGUUGUAAAAUACCUUUUGAAUUGGACGAAUAAGCUAUGUAGGGAAUGAUAUAGUGGUGACGGUACAAUUUGAAUAAGCAACGGCUAAUUACGUGCCAGCAGCCG
rnacentral:rRNA from 1 species